rnacentral:lncRNA from 1 species
CUUGAGCCCGGGACACAGAGGUUGCAGUGAGCCAAGAUUGUGCCACUGAAAUCUACUCUAACCUGGGUGACAGAAGGGGACCUUGUCUCAAAAACAAUAAUAAUAAUAUUAAAGGAGCCACCCGUUUAAUCCUUUUCUUGUUUGGUCUCAUCCAAAGAGUAAGCCAAAAUAAUCAAGGUCACAAAGGACUUAUGACCAAGGUAUAACUCUGCAAAUAUCUUUAACUGGUCAUGGCUUCUUUGUUUGAUCCCUUCCCACCCUAUCUCCUUGUCAUUGUGGGAAUUCAACCUAGGCAUCUUUUUCUGAGAUGAAAUGAUAUGCUUGUCAUAGAAAUAAGAGAUUAUGAAAUAAUUUGCAAUAAGCAGUACAGUCAAAUCUUAUGGGAAGAUAAGAUGCAGCCAAUCUUAAGAAUUUAUGUUUGUAGGCUGAGCACGAUAGCUCAUGCCUGUAAUCUCAGCACUUUAGGAGGCCGGAUGGACGAAUCACCUGAGGUCAGGAGUUCGAGACCAGCCUGGCCAACAUGGCGAAACCCUAUCUCUACUAGAAAUACAAAAAUUACCCAGGCCUGAUGGUGGGCACUUGCAAUCCCAGCUACUCGGGAGGCUGAGGCAGGAGAAUCACUGGAACCCGAGAGGCGAAGGUUGCAGUGAGCCGAGAUUGUGCCACUGCACCCCAGCCUGGGCAACACAGCGAGACUCUGUCUCAAAAAAUAAAAUAAAAUAAAAAUUUACGUUUGUAAUGGUUAAAUAUAGAGUGGUUAUAACUGUUUGGCUGUAUAUGUAAGGUAGGAUUUCUUUCUGUUUUUCUUUUUU